AGCCUCUCAAAGCUGGACUAGCCAAAGGUACAGAUGGGGCAAGUGGAGUAGUUCCAGGGCUGGCCGGGGCACCAGCUGCGCCCACUACAGCAGACCCAGGACAGGGAUCUGGACGGUUGUAGGUUCAGCUUUCUUUAGAGUUAAGAGCCACCUUGAGACCAUGAGGGAACAUAACAGCCUAAGGGAGCUGGACCGUCCUUGAUGACAUCGUUGAGCGGUUCUACUAGCCUGGACCUCCUACUUCCAGACUGUCAUUUGCCCAAAGACCCCAGAGGCAAGAGCUCUUCCUUCUGGACUCAUCAGGUUCUAAGAAGACCAAACACAUUGGUAAAGAGGGAACAGAGGUGAUGGGCAGGCAUGAAUGGGCCAACAGGCUAGAUGUGACACUCCCCUCUGCUGUCUUUCCACUGUUUUCUGUGGCCUGAAUAUAAGGGGUCCUCAGAGAAGGAUUAGUGUUUCCUGGGGAGCUUUUUCAAUACAUGCACCACACAUAGCCCCCUCUAGAAAGAGACUCAGGUAUUUGAAAAAGCUCCUAUCUGGAUUUGCCUUCCAACCUUUUUGAGAACUGCUCUUCCUCCUUACUUCAUGAUUAAGGAAAAGCCUGCCCUUCCUUCUUCAUGUAUUUUUUAAAUUAUAAAUUUAGAUCAGCAUAAACUCAUAGGCCAUUAUUUUAUUCAAAGGGUUAUAGUACAUUACUAUCAUUUGUUUUGAUGCUCAAAUUGUCCCAGUACUGGCCAGUGGGAGCCCCUUUCCAACUGGCUCCUGUGUCUUUUUGACACAUCCCAUCAUUCUUUGAGAAAUUCCUCAUUUUCUGGCACAAAAUUUUGUUCCAGGCUCAACUUGUAUCUUCCCUGCCCCAGUUUUGGAACAAGCCAUUUCUCUAAGGAUUCCUAGUAUUUUUACGGGAGAGUGGAAACCACUUUUGAAGACUUAAACAUCAUAUUAAUAUUUAGGAUAAAAGAAGACUGCAGCAAAGCCAGGCAAGAACAAGAAAGAGCCCCCUCUGUGAUUAUGACUAUUAAGCAGGAGUUGGCAAAUUAUAAGCUAGAGAGCCCCUUUUUUGGUUAAAAACAGUUUUAUUGGAACACAGCCACCUCUUCAUUUACCUACUGUCUAUAGCUAUUUUCAUAUUACAACAGCAGAGUUGAGUAGUUCUGACUCGAGACCAUAUGGCCUGCAAAGCAUAAAAUAUUUACUGUCUGGCCCUUACAGAAAAUAUCUGCCAAUCCCUGCUAAUAACUAACCACAUAUUAUAGACAAGAUUGCCUGUCAUAAGAAAUAAUGUGAUUUGGAGAUAUUGUAAAUAAAACUAGAUGUCCUAGGGCAGCACCUACUUAAAUUUCAUCAAGGUAGAAUAAGCUACAAACCUGGAAAACUGUAACAUAUCAUGAUGUAGAAUCUGGUUGUAAUGGCAAUUAUAAAUGGGAUUGUUAUUACUGAAUCUAGAAAAAAACAAUGCCUUGAAAGUAAAGUAAUUGGGGCCAGCUGUGGUGGCUCAUGCCUGUAAUCCUAGCACUCUGGGAGGCCAAGGAGGGAGGAUUGUUUGAGCUAAGG